AUUGUGAACCGGACGCAAAAAGAGUUGCCGACUAAAAAGGAGAUAUAAACAGAGACUUAUUCCUGUCGUGUUGAAAACUUGGAAUCGGAAACGAUCCAGACGAUCCAACAGUUCACAACUACCGAAACCCUAAUCGAAUCGAUCUUUGAGAACUGUAGCGUGCGUUUCACCAUGGCCGAAAGCUCUUUCAAGAACGAAUAUCCUCAGGGAAUGACCCAAACAGAAGAGAACAAUCCACAUCGGACCCCG